UACGGGGGGGGCAAGCGUUGUUCGGAAUUACUGGGCGUAAAGGGCUCGUAGGCGGCCAACUAAGUCGGAUGUGAAAUCCCCAGGCUCAACCUGGGAACUGCGUCCGAUACUGGCAGGCUUGAAUCCGGGAGAGGGAUGUGGAAUUCCAGGUGUAGCGGUGAAAUGCGUAGAUAUCUGGAGGAACACCGGUGGCGAAGGCGGCAUCCUGGACCGGUAUUGACGCUGAGGCGCGAAAGCUAGGGGAGCAAACGGG
rnacentral:rRNA from 1 species